AAAAACAUCGCCUCCUGCCCCUCAACCAAGUAUAGGAGGUCCAGCCUGCCCAGUGACCACAAGUUCAACGGCCGCGGUAUUUUGACCGUGCAAAGGUAGCGCAAUCACUUGUCUCCUAAAUAGAGACCUGUAUGAAUGGCUAAACGAGGGCUUAACUGUCUCCCCUUUCAAGUCAGUGAAAUUGAUCUAUCCGUGCAGAAGCGGGUAUAAUAAUACAAGACGAGAAGACCCUUUGGAGCUUAAGGUACAGGACUCAGCCACGUCAAGCAACUUAAUAAAAAGCAAAAACCUUGUGGAGUAUGAUAUUUUACCUUCGGUUGGGGCGACCACGGAGGAAAAAAAAGCCUCCAAGUGGACUGGGAGAACUUCCUAAAGCUUCGCGAGACAUCUCUAAGCCGCAGAACAUCUGACCAAUCAUGAUCCGGCAACAAAGCCGAUCAACGAACCAAGUUACCCUAGGGAUAACAGCGCAAUCCUCUCCCAGAGUCCAUAUCGACGAGGGGGUUUACGACCUCGAUGU
rnacentral:rRNA from 1 species